rfam:Chryseobacterium gambrini strain DSM 18014 genome assembly, contig: Ga0111674_111
AUAGCGAAAUCCGAAAAGCUUAUAGAGUAGGAA